rnacentral:rRNA from 1 species
AGCGAACGCUGGCGGCAGGCCUAACACAUGCAAGUCGAACGAACCUUUCGGGGUUAGUGGCGGACGGGUGAGUAACACGUGGGAACGUGCCUUUAGGUUCGGAAUAACUCAGGGAAACUUGUGCUAAUACCGAAUGUGCCCUUCGGGGGAAAGAUCUAUCGUCUUUAGAGCGGCCCGCGUCUGAUUAGCUAGUUGGUUGAGGUAAUGGCUCACCAAGGCGACGAUCAGUAGCUGGUCUGAGAGGAUGAUCAGCCACAUUGGGACUGAGACACGGCCCAAACUCCUACGGGAGGCAGCAGUGGGGAAUCUUGCGCAAUGGGCGAAAGCCUGACGCAGCCAUGCCGCGUGAAUGAUGAAGGUCUUAGGAUUGUAAAAUUCUUUCACCGGGGACGAUAAUGACGGUACCCGGAGAAGAAGCCCCGGCUAACUUC